AUGGUCAAGUGGGCCGAUAUUUGUAGGCCCAAGGAUCUUGCUCGGCUAGGCAUCCUUGCUUCUCGUCGCAUGAACAUGGCCCUCAUGCUGCGUUGGGUCUAGUGGAUCAUGCAAGGGGAGGGGGGCUUGUGGCUGCAACUUAUUCAGGCUAAGUAUCUUAGGGGCGAGCCCCUUCUGGCGUGCUCGCAUUCGAAGGGUUCCCAAUUCUGGGAGUACAUCCAGCGGACCAAGUGA
rnacentral:rRNA from 1 species